AACGUUGGGAAACGAAUCUCCGGGAUCUCUCAAAGAGGCCAUCCCGAAAUGACGUUUUACUUAGCUUGCUAAACUUUAAUAUCCAGAUUUUUUUUUGAAAAGGACCUAUAAGCUAUUGUCUUUCAUAUGUUUAUAGGACCUAAUCAAAAAAAACUCUAGAUAUCUAUAGAUCACUAUAGUGUUUUUUUAUAGUUUCUAAGGGAUUCCCUAGGUCAAAUAAAUCUCUAGAACAUUUAUUUACAAGCCAAGCAAUACAGAAUUUUUUUUUGAUAUUCGGUGUUUAAAAUAAGGUUUUCAUAGCUACAUACAAUGUGCAUUUAGUAAUUAUUGAUUGUUCGUUUACAUGAACGCCAGUUAAAAAUCAAACCUACGUCAGCAUUUCUAUUUUCAAAUUAAAUUGUAUCUAAAUGGUUAUUUAUGGACGCCCCCUGCUGUCUUCGCACUCGCAAACGUCAACAAUUCAAUCGUAGCAGGCAGUUGUUUUUUUCGUCGUCGCGGCCGGCUGUGUGUUUACAAGUGAUAACACCGUUUUGUUUUCGUUCGCGGGAGUUUGUUUGUGUUUAUUAUUACAAAUUUUGUAUGUGAGAACAAUCGUGACCAAAUUGGCCACCGAAGAAGCGAGGACAAAAUCUGUCUAGUGUUUUGAGUGGCCUCCGGAAGCAAAACAAGUUAGCAGCAGCCGUUUUUUCCUCCUUUCUGUGGGUGACGGCCUAACAACCUCCGGAAGGCGUUUUUUCGGCAGUCCAACUCCCGGAUGUGCAACCUGCGCUUGAAUUAGCUGUCAAAAGGUAAAAGUAAAAGACGCUUACACAAAAAAUGUUUUUCAAAACGGCUGAGUCGAUUCAAGCUGCUUUUCUGUCAGCUGAAAAAAUAGUCUUGCCAACCCUACCUUCCCGAAGAAAGGAGCGGAGGAGGAAGUUGAUUCGCCGAAGUCGGAACGUGAGCUGCAAAACCGGCGGAGAUUGUGUCGUUCCCAUAGGCUAGGUUGGUGAGUUGAUUGGUGAACUCGAUUCCGUGCAAGCACACAUCAGCGGCUUCUUGCUUAAGAAGCUUCUAACAUUCCAGAUCGAUCAAUUGUUUUCAAGGGCAUGGAUAGCAACAUCAUCAAGAAGAUUCAACUAACCACGUGCCGUUGAUCAUAAAAACAUUCUGUGCUGAAGAAUAUCACCAGCUAAACCACCUUCAGAUAAGUGCUUGAUUUUUUUCUACAAAAGAAUUAGACACUUUGUGAUAAUUUCCAACAUUUUAGGUAGAAACUCAACUUGGACCAAAAGCAACAGAAAAGGCAGCCCUAGUUGAAAAAAAAGAAAGAUGUGUGCGUCAGUAAAUCAAAAGCGAUCUCGGGGUUGGAGUGAACUAAGAGAGCCAGGAUCAGCAAAUCUUCAGACAAAGAUUGACUCCAAAGAAUUCGACCGUAUUAAAAUUUCCGGUAAGUCAAACUAAAAGUUUUCUAAGAAUGUAUCCCCGAUUGCCAAAUAAAGCUCCACCACUUUACGCUAGCCCCUUCCCUCACAGAGCGUAAAAGGGGGCUUAACAAUAACGGAUUUUGAUCUUCUCACAAUAUCAAAAACUGACCUUCCCAAGUUAUUUCCGUCUGCUCGGGAUGAUAACAAGUUGUAUUCUGGAGCAACAUUUGAAAGGGACGGUACGAAAUUGCUCUUACGGCCUUCUUCCCAUUUCAACACAUGAAAAGAAAGGCCGUAAGAGCGAUGUCGUACUGCUCCCUUCAAAUGUUGCAUGUUUAUUUAUUACCAUUUUUUUUUUCAUUUAGUUUGUUUUCUUUUUUUCAGGUUGAACUCAAGAACAACAAGAUCACCAGAUGAACUCUCGGUUAUCCGACGUUGCACGACUGCGCCGUUUUCCUUCAGAACAAUCUUCAGAACCGGCUGCUGAAGUAACCUCUGGGACCCCUCCAUCCGACCAACAAUUUCCAAAGAAUGACGGAGAUGGAGCUGAUCGUGGUGUACAGCUUUGGUCAACUCUACCACAGCGGAUACCUCCCUGAACUGUGUUUUUUCUUCUGUAUUAGUUUAUUCUAAGAUUUUUUUUGUGUUAUUUUCUCUUCAGUUUAAUUUGUUGCCAAUUUAGAAUCCCGCAAACUCUCCAUCAUGUUUGAAUUUAAAAUCCAUAUAUCAUUAGGACAAUUCAGACAAAAAUAUAAUAUAUAUAUCAAAUAAAAUGAAAAAAUACAUAAGCUAUUUGACCAAAGCAAAAUUAAUGUUUUCUAGCUCAAAAUUCCGAAAAUCCUUGAAAAAUUGAUGUUCAUUCGAAUUGUUACAACUGUUCCCCAAAAUGUAAUGCUCCAUGAAAAAUCACUGAAAUAACUAUUUAAAACCAUAAAAAUACCAUUUGAGAAAUGGUGAAAUCCCUAAAAUAUAUACGCAAAAAUGAACUUUCAAAAAGCACUUGACAAAGUGUCGCUAGAAGAAAAAAUCAAAUAGUGAAUAUUGCUAACAACAUAUAUGGGGAAUAGUUCACUAUUUGAGAGACAGUGAGGAAUUAAAAAAAAAUAUUUACCAAAUAGUUGCUAUACAAUUUGGUAAAAGGUUGAUUGAAUAUUUAACAAAU